UGAGACUUAAAUUUGAUGGGGAAGAAGAAAAAGAAGAGGGAAGGAGGAAGAAUGAGGAUAAUCAACUUGUUCUUGAAGCCUUGCAACCACCUCUGAAUUUGAAGGAAUUAGAGAUUUGGUCAUACAGAGGCAACAUUGCUUCCCCCAGGAUGAUGCAAAAAUUGAAGGAAUUUACCAAUCUAAGGAGUUUGAUACUGUAAAAACUGCAAAAACUUGAGAGCAGUUGCCUCCUUUGGGAAAAUUGUGAUCCUUUGAAAAUCUCAGCAUAUUGUACAUGGAGAGUGUGAGAACAGUGGGUAAUGAAUUUCUGGGAAUAGAAAGUGAUCUUCAUGACUCAUCUUCAUCUUCAUCAGUUAUUAUUGCCUUCCCCAAAUUGAAAUCACUUUCAGUUGAGGGAUUGAUGGAAUUGGAGGAGUGGGAUUAUGGGAUUAAAAGAACAGGAAACACCUUCACCAACAUUAUGCCACGUCUUUCUUCCUUGGAAAUUAGUGUGGGGUUAUGGGAUCGCACAACGACGUUGAAGGUAUUGCAGAUUGUGGCAUGUGGUACUCUAAGAAGACGUUACAGACAGGGUAGAGCAGAAGACUGGCCUAAGUUCUCUCACAUUCCAGACAUCAUGAUUGUGUGAAAAGAUGCCCUUGACAAAAUUCUCUAGGCGGCUACAUGGAGUACAAUCAUAAAAUGCUAAUGUGGCCACCCUGGUUCUUAAUUAAGGUUGUGAAAUAUUAUUGUAAAAGAUGAUUAAUUCAAUUUGAGUCAUUCGUUUGCUUUGAUAAUGAUAGUAAUUUUAUAUUUUGACAAUUUGCAAGGUGAGAAUGGUGCUGAUUGGUGAUACAGGAUAUGGUUCAAACACCAUUGAAUAAAGCUACGGACAUGGUGGCUCAACUUAGCUAGACUGCUGUCAAAAUUGGUAAGUUGGCUUGUCAAUGUAUUGAUGCUUUUGUUUUCUCUCAACCCUAAUUACCUUACCUUCAUUUAGUUUGGCUUUGGAGUUGAGUAAUAACUUUCAAGGUUCUCAAACAGAGCAGGACAACCGAAAAAAAAUAGCUUAAUUUGCUGCAGAUCACGUGUUACCAAUUAUUUAAGGUAAUUCUCGUUUACUUGCUUCUACACUAUAGAGUACGUGUUCUGGCUGGUUUAUCUAAUUCAUCAAAUGUUAUUUCCUUAUUGUUCCAUUGAUAUAUUUGUUAGAAAAUGAAACCAUUUCCAGGCAGCAGUUGGCAGUGAAUUCAUGCAAAUGUUGAUGCCAUUCAUAGAUAUUGAAGAUAAUGAUGAGCCAAAGGUGAUAAAUCAUUAAUGCAUAGUUACCAAAACCUCCAUCCUUCUCUCAUUGUAAUUUGAUUUGAAAUGAAUAAUUGCUAGGUAAUUGAAGCCAAUAUUGUUAGAAACGGUGUUGAGCUACCCAAGCUAAGAAGUUAGCUGCCAAAAAAUGCAGGGGAUCAAAAGAAGCAUUGCAGUGCUACAAUGCUGCUACUGGGAAAUUUAAAUCCCAUAUUAGACUUUCCUCACAUCAGAAGCUGUGGAUCUUCGGACAUCAGGUUUUUUCACAGUUCUUAAACUCUCAGGAUUAAACUCUAUUAAAGUUGUUGUAGUUGUCUACGUUCUCAGGUCAAGGAUUCUAAGCUGCCGAUUAAGGCAAAAUAUCAGAAUUCCCCUAUUAUUAUUUUUUUUCAUGUAAAUUUAUGUUGUUGUCUUCGCCCAUGAAUCUUAGCAAAAUUCUGAACCAAUUGUUUGCUAUUAUAAAUUUCAUUGUUAAAUAUUAAUUGUGAUGUUGGUGUUGAGUUUCUUUUAAAGUCACAGAAGCCUGACGAUUGAGUUCCGUGGGACUCUGAGAAGCAGUAAUAUUUUGAACAAGUGAAGGUUCUUCGUUUUUAAUUAUGUUCUGCACUUUUACAGUAUGUGCAGAUGUCUAAGAGGCAGGAUUUUAAUUUCUGUAAUGCUAAAUUUCGCAAAACAAUAAAAAAAAUAAAUGCAUGACAGUGACUUCAAGAAUUUAGAUUAUUGAAUUUGGCCAUUUCAAAAUUGAACCAGAGCUCAGAAAUGUAGAAUAUAAAUAUUGGAGAUUUGAACUUCAAUCAUUAGAUUUGAAGCUAAAGAGGUAAGCCAUUAAUUACAUCAAAUGAUUUGGAAAAUGGAGGAAUUGGAAAAAGGAAACUUUUUCUUUGUCCGAUUCAAGGGGAACGUCACAGAGAGGGGUAAAGAGAAGAGUAGCCUAAGAUAUUAAAGACAAUGUUGAGGCAAAGGAAACAUAAAUCCCAACCAUUGCAUGUGAGCAUGAUCACAAUAAAUCCCAACCAUCCAAACCAUUUUUUUGAGAAUUUUCAAUUGAAAGUGAAACCUUUUGACAUUUACCUAAUAAAGUAAGUUAAACGAGAGAAAUAAAGGGGGGAAAAAAAGUUGACUCAAGUCAAUACAGAAUUAUUAGUUCAACCUGGAGAAACUAAAACAGAGACACUAUAUUUUCAAAAAUAUCUGCAUUCAUCACCUUCUCCAACAGCUAAUGAGCUACACACGAAUCAUUUCCUUUUAGCAUUUUUGCAGCAUCAAUUUAUCCCCUCGUUUGUCAUCAGUUUCUCCCUUCGUUUCACCAAUACCAUGGCUGAUGCAAUCCUUUCCCCUCUCUUGGAGCAGCUGAUUAUCUUCGCUGCUGAAGAGAUGAGACAACAGGGGAAGCUGGUGAGUGUUGGAUGAGCGGAUCACAGCAUGCGCCAAAUUGCAAAUUGAGAGCGGCAUUGAUGACAAUGCUCUUGGUGCUCCUUAUCUGAAGAAGAAGGUAUAUUCCUGCUUUCCUGCUUCUUGCUUUGGUUUCAAACAAGUCUUUCACUGUCAUAACAUUUAUUGUAAUUUCAUUUGGAGAUAUGUAAUAUCUGUUGUCCAGAUAUAUUUCAUACACCAGCUGCUAAUAAUUCUGCUUGAAGAGAACUUGCAAAGGAGCUGUGUGAUGUAAUAGAAGACUAUAGUCUGGUCAAUUUUUUCAACCUUAGAUAUUAGGAAGUUAUGUAUUUCAUUAUCAGUUAUCAUUAUGAUUCUUAUCUUCAAAAAGAUAAAUGGAUGGCUUUGAAUGGCUUGUGUUUGAGGAUUUUAGUUGGACUUAUUUUGAUUGAAGUACUUUUUGACAAUAGAAUUCCUUCAUGAUUUAAACAUUCUUUUUAAAAUCAAAUAAUCAAAAAAAUUAAAUAAAUAAAUAGAGUAACUAACAAAUAUGAUUUUAUUUUGUUAGUGUUUUUCUCAUCAAAUAUACAUAAGAGUACUGUAAUUAAUUGCAACCAAUUUUUCACUAAAUACGCCUACAACAAACUAUUAAUAAUAAAGUGAUAGAAAAAUGCCUAAUUUUUCAUACUUUCUAAUUUCUUUUGGCCCUAAAAUAUAGGUAUUUAUGUCAUAAUAAGCCCAUGUGGAUCUCAAUGCCGAAAGUUCGAUAAAUGGCUUUCAAGGAUUACUUAUUAAGGUGGCGUUUGUUUUUUAACUUAAUGACUUAAAGUGACUUAACUUAAUUAAUUAAGUUAAUUAGAGGUGUUUGUUUUUAUAACUUAAUGAAACUUUUUAGAUAAUUUUGACUUAAUAAAAUAAGCUAAUUUUUUUGGCUUUUUACUUAAUUGAGAAAUAUGAAUUAAGUCAAUUACUUGCUAAUGUCAAAAAUAUCCCUGUUUUAUAAUUUAUUUUUCAUGUCUAUCCCAAAACUCACCCAUAGAUAAUUACCCCACAUAAAAAUAUCCCUAUUUUUUCUUUUUUAUAUUAUAUACGAUAAAAUUUAAAAUUUAUGGUAUUUUAUAUAUUAAAAUUCCAAAAUAAUUAUGUAUUCACUUGAAUAUAGUUUUACUUAUAAAUGUUAAAAUAUUGUGGUAUUUAAUAUAUUAUUUAUUUAACAUUCAAAUUUAAUAAGGAUACAAAUGUAAAAGUACAUAUUUUCAGCUUUUUAAGCUGAAAAAACAAACAACUUAAUACUUAUUUUUCGAGAUUCAGACGAAAAAACAAACAUAUUAUUCAGAUUCAGAUAUUCAGACCUAUUCAGAAUUCAGACUAAUUCAGGUCUACUCAGAUUUCAGAUAAACAAAACAAAUGCCACCUAAGUAAAAAAUAAUUCAAAGGACAAAAUGGUAAAACUAGAAGGGUGGAGUAAUAUGGCUACCUUGGGUUACAUAGUAAGUUGACUACAUUCAAAGUAUAAAAUAUUAGAAACUGAACGGUGGAGUAAUCGUCGUUUAGAUGAAUGAUAUGUCUAAGACGUUGCAUGCAUCAAGAAAAUUGCAGAUGAUUAAACCUUGCCAUCUAUGCGUUGUAUGAGGUUAUAGCAACUAUCUAUCUGGUCACCGUUUUCAAGUCUCAAUUGGUAGUCCAAAGAAAAGAAUGAUUUUGCAAUAGCAUUAAGUGUUAAUUGGACACAAAAGGAAGUGUUUUAACCACUUUAAGGAAAGUAAAUGUAAUUUUCUGUCCUAAAGAAAAGGUAAAUGUAUGCACUUUCAAUUAAUCUUUGGUCGACCAGCAACAUCAUAAUUUCGUUUAGGUUCAUUUUUGUUUCUUAGAGUUUGUAAAAAGAAUGGAAAGAUUUUAAAAUAUAAAUUUCAUAUCUGUUUAUUACUGUUGUUUGGUCUAAUUUCUUAUGUAGAAUUUUCAGAAUCUGUAGGACAUUAGUUUAUAAUUUUGAGAUUUUGCAGCCAUAAAUGUAUUUUUCUUUUUUUGUUGCCAUUUUAUUUUGCUCCUUUAUCUAUGUGCAUGUUGACUGGCUGCAGUGAGUGAAAAUUUACCUAUAUAUGCUGGCUAUUCUUGGACAAUAUUAGAGAAAAUAAUCAUAUUAUUUCGCGUGAUGUGAACUUCCAUAACUUAUCAAUUGAAUUGCUGUAAAAUAUUAAAUAGUUUUAUUUUUCUUUUAUCGUGUAACUUGGACCAAAAAAGGAAAUGAGUUUAACAUGACCCUCAUUCCGGCACUAUGCCUGUUUUUCUUGUAUUGAUGACAGUGCUCUUGGUGCUUCUCAUCUGCUUCUUGCUUUGGUUUCAAACGAGUCUUUCUCCGUCAAGACAUUUAUUGUAAUUUCAUUUGGAGACAUCUAUCGUUCAAUAUAUUUCAUAUGCAAGCUGUUAAUAAUUCUGCUUGCAGAAAGCCUACAAAGCAGCUGUGUGAUUUAAUAGAAGACCAUAGUCUCGUCAAUUUUUCAACAUUAGAUAUUCAGUGUCAUAUUUGGCUGCAUCUAGAAGCCACUGCAUCUAGAAGCCUUGAAUAAGCAAAGUUGGCUUUGACAGCCGGCCAAAGAAAAUGUUGAAGAAUUUGGCAGCAGCAAAUUUGGAAUGAAGAAAAAGAAGAAAGAAGAAAAUAGAAGAAUGAAGACGGUGGUAAAAAUAAUAAUUUAAUAGCCAUUUUUUUGGCUAUAAAAGGCAGAGCUCCUCAUUUCAUUUUGUAUCCAAUUCCAUUCAGAGAGCAAUUUAGGGAGUUGAGAGAGAGUUUGAGAGCUUGCAUUUAUAAGCUCUUGUUACAGUGAUUGAGAGAGUUUGGGUGUAUUGGGGUUUUAGGGAAGUGAGCUAAAAUACUACAAUACUUGUAACUCCUUUUCACUAGUAAAAUAUUUCCUUCUGUCUUCGCCCGUGGAUGUAGGCUAAAAGCCGAACCACGUAAUUUCUGGUGUCCUCUAUUGUGCUGGUUCUUUAUUUUUUCUUCCAAUUUCAUUUUAGCUGCGGUCCUACUUCACCCACCAAUUUCCUAACAGUGGUAUCAGAGCCAGGUUGUAUUUUUUGGAGUCGGGAACUGUUCCGGUCCUACUUCACCCACCAAUUUCCUAACAGUGGUAUCAGAGCCAGGUUGUAUUUUUUGGAGUCGGGAACUGUUCACGUAAGGGGUACUAUUCACGUAUACGGCACCGUACACGUAUAUGAAACUAUUCACGUAUACGGUACUGUUCAUAUAUACGGUGUUGUUUACAUAGACUGUACUAUUCACGUAUAUGGUACUAUUCACGUGAAGCGGUGGAAGCGAUCCAAGAAUUUUACGGUGCAACUAUUCAAGGUGGUACACUAACUUGUGUGCAGUAUUUAUCAACAAAAUGGCGGCAAAGUAUGAAAUUGAGAAAUUUAACAACUAUUCAAGGUGGUACACUAACUUGUGUGCAGUAUUUAUCAACAAAAUGGCGGCAAAGUAUGAAAUUGAGAAAUUUAACGGAAAUAAUUUUUCGUUGUGGAAAAUGAAGAUGAAAGCUGUAUUGAGGAAAAAUAAUUGUUUGGCAGCAAUUGGAGAAAGGCCCAUGGAGAUAACUGAUGACAAGUGGAACGAGGUAGACGGCAAUGCCAUUUCUGAUCUACACUUGGCAGUUGCGGAUGGAGUAUUAUCCAGUGUGGCAGAGAAAAAUACGGCGAAGGAAAUAUGGGAUACUCUCACAAAAUUGUAUGAGGCCAAGUCACUACACAACAAAAUUUUCUUGAAGAGAAAACUCUAUAUUCUUCGAAUGACGGAAUCUACAAUGGUGACCGACCACAUCAACACAUUGAAGACUCUAUUUUCACAACUCACAACGUUGGGUCAUAAUAUAGAGGAAAAUGAACGUGCACAGCUUCUACUUCAAAGUCUACCAGAUUCGUAUGAUCAACUCAUCAUCAACUUGACGAACAACAAUCCAGUGGAGAGUCUAGUUUUCGAUGAUGUUGCAGCCUCCGUAUUAAAUGAGGAGAGCAGGCGGAAAAAUAAGGAAAACAGACAAGCAAGUUCGCAGUAAGCAGAAGCGCUAUCGGUGACGAGAGGGAGUUCAACGGAACGUGGCCCCAGUGGGAGUCAAAAUCAGGGUAGAUCAAAAUCCAGAAGUAAGAAGAAUGUUAAAUGCUACAACUGUGGCAAGAAAGGGCAUGUCAAGAAAGAGUGUUGGAGUAACCAGAAGAGAAGAGAGGGCAAAGAACCUGAGUCAUCAAAUGCUCAGGGGUGUGUAGCAAGUACCUCAGAUGAUGGCGAAAUUCUCUACAGUGAGGCAACAACUAUUUCAGAAGGCAGAAAACGACUUUAUGAUGUCUGGCUUAUAGACUCAGGAGCUACCUAGCACAUGACCUCUAGGAGAGAAUGGUUCCACACAUAUGAACCUAUCUCAGGAGGAUCUGUAUAUAUGGGUAACGAUCAUGCCUUGGAGAUCGCUGGUAUUGGUACUAUCAAAAUAAAAAUGUUUGAUGGUACAAUUCGCACAAUUGGGGAGGUACGACAUGUCAACGGCCUGAAGAAAAAUCUAUUGUCUUUGAGACAAAUAGAUAGUCAUGGGUACAAAACUCAUGUGGAGAAUGGAAUUAUGAAGAUCGUUAAAGGCGCGCUUGUAUUGAUGAAGGCAGAAAAGAUCGGUGCUAAUCUAUACAUGCUUAAAGGAGAAACGCUACAGGAGGCAGAUGCGUGUGUCGCAUCAAAUGGAGAAGAGUCAACGAUGAUGUGGCAUCUCAAACUUGGCCACAUGUCAGAACAAGGUUUGAAGAUUCUCUCUGAGCGAAAAUUGCUUCCGGGGCUCAAAUCGGUAAGUUUACCAUUUUGCGAGCAUUGUGUUACAAGUAAGCAGCAUAGAUUAAAAUUCAGUAGAUCUAUUGCUAGAAGUAAAUGCAUUCUAGACUUGAUUCAUUCUGAUGUUUGGGAAUCACCGGAUAUAUCCAUGGGAGGUGCAAAGUACAUGGUGACUUUCAUUGAUGAUUAUUCCAGAAGAUGUUGGGUGUAUCCAAUUAAGAAAAAGUCAGAUGUAUUUCCAGUGUUUAAAGAAUACAAAGCGCGGGUGGAACUUGAAUCUAGUAAAAAGAUCAAGUGCUUAAGGACGGAUAAUGGUGGAGAGUAUACAGACGGCGAGUUUCUUGCUUUCUGUAAGCAAGAAGGUAUUCAGAGGCAGUUCACGGUGGCAUACACUCCUCAACAAAACGGAGUAGCGGAGCGGAUGAACAGAACUCUUACAGAAAGAAUAAGAGCUAUGUUGAGGACUGCUGGUCUACCCAAUUCAUUCUGGGUAGAAGCAGCAAAAACCGCCUGUUAUAUAGUAAAUCGGUCGCCAUCUACAGCUAUUGGGUUGAAGACAGCGAUGGAGAUGUGGACUGGAAAGCCAGCUGAUUAUUCCUACCUACAUGCAUUUGGAUGUCCUAUGUACGUGAUGUACAAUGCCCAAGAAAGAACAAAGCUGGAUGCAAAAUCUAGAAGAUGUAUCUUCUUGGGGUAUGCUGAUGGAGUAAAGGGGUAUCGUCUGUGGGACCCCACUGCCCACAAGAUCGUCAUCAGCAGAGAUGUUAUCUUUGUAGAAGAUCAACUACAAAGAAAAGAUGGAGAUGAUGGCACUGUAAAAGAAAAGUCAGAGACUGUACCAGUAUAUGUCGAAAAUAAUCUAGAAGAUUCAAAUUCUUCUGAAGUAGCACCAGAGCACGAUGAACAAGAACCAGUCGAGUCCGAGGCUCCAGAAGUUCGUCGGUCAACUCGUGAGAGACGACCGCCGGCGUGGCACUCGGAGUAUGUCACAGAGAUCAACGUUGCAUACUGUCUUCUAACAGAGGAUGAAGAGCCUUCAACUUUCCAUGAAGCUUUAAACAGCUCAGAUGUUGCUUUGUGGAUGACAGCAAUGCCGGAAGAAAUUGAAGCUCUACACAAGAACAAGACAUGGGAACUUGUACCACUACCACACGGAAGAAAAGCCAUUGGAAACAAAUGGGUCUACAAGAUCAAACGUGAUGGCAAUGAUCAAGUGGAGCGGUAUCGUGCGAGAUUGGUGGUGAAAGGAUAUGCUCAGAAAGAAGGUAUUGACUUCAACGAAAUAUUUUCUCCGGUGGUUCGACUCACAACAGUCAGAAUAGUCUUGGCGAUGUGUGCUACAUUUGAUCUACAUCUUGAGCAGUUUGAUGUGAAAACUGCAUUUCUUCAUGGAGAACUUGAAGAAGAAAUAUAUAUGCUCCAACCAGAAGGUUUUGCAGAAACAGGAAAUGAGAACUUGGUUUGCAGGUUGAACAAAUCUCUAUACGGUCUCAAACAGGCGCCGAGGUGUUGGUAUAAGAGAUUUGAUUCCUUCAUCAUGAGCCUUGGAUACAACAGACUCAGUUCAGACCAUUGUGCAUAUUACAAGAGGUUUGAAGAUAAUGAUUUCAUUAUUUUGCUAUUGUAUGUGGAUGACAUGUUGGUAGCAGGUCCCAACAAAGAUCGAAUCCAAGAAUUGAAGGCACAGUUGGCUAGGGAGUUUGAAAUGAAGGACUUGGGACCAGCAAACAAGAUUCUAGGGAUGCAAAUUCACCGAGACAGAAAUAAUAGGAAGAUUUGGCUUUCUCAGAAAAAUUACUUGAAGAAAAUCUUGCGGCGCUUCAACAUGCAAGAUUGUAAGUCAAUUUCUACCCCACUUCUUGUUAAUUUCAAAUUAUCCUCAAGUAUGUGUCCUAGCAAUAAAGUGGAGAGGAAGGAUAUGUCUCGAGUACCGUAUGCAUCAGCAGUGGGAAGUUUGAUGUUCGCUAUGAUAUGUACUAGACCAGACAUUGCACAAGCAGUGGGAGCAGUCAGUCGAUACAUGGCGAAUCCUGGUGGAGAGCAUUGGAUAGCUGUGAAGAGGAUUCUGAGAUACAUCAGAGGAACCUCAGAUGUUGCAUUAUGUUAUGGAGGAUCAGAGUUUACUGUCAGGGGCUAUGUGGAUUCAGAUUUUGCAGGAGAUCUUGAUAAAAGGAAAUCCACUACUGGUUAUGUGUUUACACUUGCGGGAGCAGCUGUAAGCUGGGUUUCGAAACUGCAGACCGUUGUGGCUUUAUCUACAACAGAAGCAGAGUACAUGGCAGCUACACAAGCUUGCAAGGAAGCUAUUUGGAUACAAAGAUUAUUGGAGGAGCUCGGGCACAAACAACAGAAAAUUUCUGUGUAUUGUGACAGUCAGAGUGCCUUGCACAUUGCAAGGAAUCCAGCCUUUCAUUCCAAGACAAAGCACAUAGGAGUUCAGUAUCACUUCAUUCGUGAAGUAGUGGAAGAUGGAAGUGUGGAUUUGCAGAAAAUCCAUAUGAAGGAGAACCUAGCAGAUGUUUUUACCAAGCCAAUAAAUGCUGACAAGUUUAUCUGGAGUAGAUCCUCUUGUGGCCUAGCAGCAACGUAGGCAACAUGAUUAUGGCGAAGCAUAAAGGAUGGUGUGGAGAUUGAUUGAUUCUCAAUCUAAUCUCCAAGUGGGAGAAUGUCAUAUUUGGCUGCAUCUAGAAGCCACUGCAUCUAGAAGCCUUGAAUAAGCAAAGUUGGCUUUGACAGCCGGCCAAAGAAAAUGUUGAAGAAUUUGGCAGCAGCAAAUUUGGAAUGAAGAAAAAGAAGAAAGAAGAAAAUAGAAGAAUGAAGACGGUGGUAAAAAUAAUAAUUUAAUAGCCAUUUUUUUGGCUAUAAAAGGCAGAGCUCCUCAUUUCAUUUUGUAUCCAAUUCCAUUCAGAGAGCAAUUUAGGGAGUUGAGAGAGAGUUUGAGAGCUUGCAUUUAUAAGCUCUUGUUACAAUGAUUGAGAGAGUUUGGGUGUAUUGGGGUUUUAGGGAAGUGAGCUAAAAUACUACAAUACUUGUAACUCCUUUUCACUAGUAAAAUAUUUCCUUCUGUCUUCGCCCGUGGAUGUAGGCUAAAAGCCGAACCACGUAAUUUCUGGUGUCCUCUAUUGUGCUUGUUCUUUAUUUUUCUCCCAAUUUUACUUUAGCUGCGUGUCUGCUUCACCCACCAAUUUCCUAACAUUCAGCUCAUCAGCUUCUCAUGAAUUCUUUCCUGAGUUUCUUUGAAUUAUUUGUGAUGCAAUAACUUGUGCAUUUGAGAAACUGUUCUCUGGAAUUCUUUCUUGAGUUUCUUUGAAUUAUUUGUGAAUAAGUUGUUAAUCGGCUGCUUCUCUUCAAGAUAAGGAAAGUGUUGCAAACUGGUGAAGCAGCUGAUAGAUAAAAGCAAUGCCAGUGUGGUUGAAUUCAGCAAGAUUGGCGUUCGUGAUGCAAACGAGAUUACAUAGUGGUUAAAAGCAAUAAUCAAUGUUUUAACCAUAAAAACUUCUUUCCACCUAUUUUCGGCCUUGUGAUUCUCAUAUCCAUAGAACUUUUUGGUAAUUUAAUCAUAUUUCAUCGUAUGCAUCUGCAUCUUCUAACCAGUGCGUUUGAGAAACUAAUUUUGCUGUUAGGCAGGUUUCAAGCUUGAUUAAUGUAUUUUUCAUAAAUGUACCAAAGUUAUGUAAACCAAAUAAUAAAAAAUAAAUAAAAGGAAAUGAGUUUAAUAUAACCUCCAUUCCAGCACUAUGCACGUUAAUUGUUCCCCAAGGACUCUCCUGAUUCUUAUUCCCAACCUCCAUGCUCUCAAGAGGAGUUUAGCACCCAUCAAUUUUUACUUUUGAAAACUCGUAAUGGUCUGAUAAAAUUAAACAACAUUAAAAAUGUUACCAGUCAUUAAAUAGUAAUUUAUUUAUUUACUUUGCCACCUAAAGGAAUCCUGCUGUAAAUAGAGGUUAAAAAUUUUAUUAGAUCUACUUACCUUUGUUCAUUCAGCAAACACAUACAAUUUACAACUAGUGAAUCUAUCCGUUGACAAUUGUGGAUUAAAAUUAUAACACCUGAAUUCAAACAUAUUUUACGAAGUUAUGAAUUUGUUCAUACUUCAAAUGAUUUUUUUUCCCCAAGCUAAUAAAGCUACCACAUUGAUCAAAUGACGACGUUGAAGGAAUUGCGUAUUUUUCAAUGUCCUUUUCCAGACACACGUUGGAGAGAGGGAAAGAAGAAGACUGGCUUAAUUAAGAUAUCUCACAAAGAUUAUUGAGUUAAAAUGUUAUUGUAAAAGAUGUUUAAUACGAUAAUAGUACUUCUUUUGCAUUGUUAUAAUAAGGUUGGUAGGUUUCCCCAGAGGAUGGAUCUGGCUCGCUAGUCUCCAUUUGGGAAGAUGCUAAUUAUCGGCCAUAAAAAAGUCAAGGGGUUGUGGCUCUUCUGUGGCCCAGAAAUUCCUAAUCUCAUAUCUCAAACUUGGGCAUUAUGUAAAUAUGUAUUUUUGAGAAUUAAACUAUUGCGUAGAAAAAUUUUGAGCCAUUGUAAUCAUUUUAUUUUGCUAAGAGAAAAUUUUACUUUGUGUUUCGAUUUGACUUUUGUUUUGUUUGUGAUAAUAAGAUUCAUACCAAUGUGAUUACACACCUAUCAUGCUUCUAUUUUCAUUUGCUUGUCAUGAUAGAUCAACAUGCUCAAAAAUAUUUAUUUAGGUUGGAAAUAUUUGAAUCCACUAAAAUACUAUACAAACCCAUUUUAAAAUUUUAAAAAAAAUGAUUAUCAUAAUACUCGUGAAGAUAACGCGAUAUCAUACAUAAAAUAAAAUAUUUCGCAAAAAAGAUAGGAUACAAAUCUUAAGUAAGUGGGUAUAAAAAAUAUUUUAGUGAGUUCAAGUAGCACUAAUGCCCCCUUAUCAAAAAAUAUAUAAAAAUAACUAGUCUGAUUGGGUAUACCGUUGGCUAAACUAAAGUUCUGAAGAUAUAUAUAUAUAUAUAUAUAUUGAUAAUUUAUAAUGUACAUUAUAGAGAAAGAUUUUGAAAGUAAUAUUUUUUUAGUAUUAUUAUAUAAUAUUUUGUAAAAAGUAGAGAGAGUGAGCAAAACCAAAUUAAUUUUCUAACCCCCCUCCUUUAGGAUUUAAACUCAUUUUUUAGUGUCGCCGGCCAUUCAAAUUUUCUAGUUGAAUAGGCUAAAUUGCAUGAAAUUGUGCUAGCUUAGCUUGAUUCUAGAAAUUUCCAGUACACUGUAACACAUUCCCACACUUGUACAUAGCUCGAAAUUCUCUAGAAUUUACUAUAGUAGCGUAACAUGUAGCUUGUACAUAGGUUUUUCUAUAACACUCCAGGCAUUACUAGGCAUGAGAGCUCUCACCAAGCUUUGAGAACUCUCUAGACAUAAAACAUUCUAGCGCAAGCCUACCCUAAAAAUAGGGCAUGAAGCUUGCCAUUCGAGCAUACAACAAGUAAGAACAAUUCAAGCAUACUUGUAAGCUCUCAAACUCUCUUAUACACACUCUUGUGAAUAAUAUAAUUUCCCUUUGGCUAUAUUGUUCUCUCUUCUCUCUAGUUUUUUCGAAAGCAUCAUAACUUAGCUAGUCGAAAAAUUCAAGGCUUACUUUGCAACUAUCUCGUAAAAGUUGUUUAAGUACCACAGGAGUUUGCUGUACAAAAUACUCAUCCCGUGACAUUAGUCAAAUAAAAUUGUUUGAAAGCCACUUACCCGGAUAUUAUUCUUUUAAUAUGCAAUCUUUUAAUAUAAACUUUUGUCUUAAUUUUCUAUCUCCUACGAUAAAUUUUAGAAUUUUAAAAAUUUUAAAAAUUAAUAACUAUUAGAUAGAGCAUUUACUGUUAAAAGAAAUCUAUAUAGAUAUAUAGAUACAUAGUAAUAUAAAAACUUACUACAAUAUAAUGUUUUUAGUUUCUUAUUUUUUCAAGAUAAAAUUCAAAGACACAAGUUAAAUGUUGUGGAAAAUCUUCCACCCAUACAAGAAAUCGUCACAGCUAAAUGCAAACCGAGCUAAAGUAUUAGUUGUUUUAUUACAAUCUCUAAAAAGAUGAGCGAUUCCAAAAUCUUUCUUUGUAACAAUAAGCACUACAGUUCAGCAACUAUCCAAGUCAAAAGCAACUCAAUGUGAGUGCUAAGCUAAAUCAAUUUCAUUAACAAAUUAGAUGCCAAAGAGCAAGGCUUCGUCCUCAAUUAUAUUGACAUUAUCUGAGUAAACUCUAAAUACCACAAUCAACCCCAAAAAACAUGACUAACUAUUGUGUUUAAAAUAAAUUUUUUUUUUUUUAGAUAUCCGUUGGUAGUAUCUCUUUAGAUGAAUAUAGGAGAUAAAAUAAAUAAAUAUUUAUUGUGUAAAUAAAAAUAAAUAAAUUUUUUUGAACGGAAAAAAUUCCCAAGAACUAAAUUGUUCAAACGUUUUUUAACAUCAUGUGUUUCUAAUAAUUUAGGGUUGGGCAUUCAGUUCGGUUUUUACCGAACUGAACAACUAAAUUAAAUUGAAAUUACCCUAUUCGGUUCAAUUGAAUAGACAAAAACUAGAGCUGGCAAAACGGGUCAUCGGGUCGUGUUCAUGUCGUGUCAGUUUCGUAUCGUGUCAAAUUUAGUUCAACCCAAACCCGACCCAUUUAAUAAUCAUGUCAAAAUAUUGAGACCCAAACCCGAUACGGAAAAAUAAUCGGGUCACCCAAUAACCCGCUGAAUAUCUAUAUAUUUAACAAAAGUUACAUCAAAUAUUUACACAUUAUCAUACAUGCGUAUGUACAUACAUAAUUUAUCGAUAUUAUAAAAUAUACAUAUCUACCAAAAUAUUACACAUUUACACUAUUGAGGUUUUAAUUAAUUAUAUAUAUAUAUAAUAUUAUAUAUUAAUAUUAUAAAAUAUACAUAUCUACCAAUAUUUUAUACAUUUACACUAUUGAAACUCUAAAUGUGUUUAAAAUUUUAUAAAUAAAAUAUUGUACUUAUAUUCAUCCUUUUAAAGAAUAUAAAUAAAAGAGAAAAUCAUCUCUAAUAUUUAAGUUUUGAUGACAAAAACCUACAAAUUAUUUUAAAAUAGAAAAUAUAAUCGGGUCAUUAGUCGGGUAAAUGGGUCAAUAAUUUUAACCCUAACCCGACACGGAAAAAAAUCGUGUCGACCCGAACCCGACCCAUUUAAUAAUCGUGUUAAAUUCAACGACCCAUACCCAUUUAUUUGUGUCGUGUUCGUAUCGAGUAAUCGGAUCGUGUCAAAUUUUGCCAGCUCUAACAAAAACCGAACAGUUUAUAUUUUUAUGAAUUGAAUGAUUUGUAUUUUAGUUUAGUUCGGUUCGGUUCUGGAUCUAAACCGAACCGAACCGUAAACCGUAAACUGCCCACCCUUAAAGUUUCCAUUAACCGCCGUUGCAUUGCUCAAAUCACAGUCUCUCGCUUUCAGCUCAGUCAGAGUUUCCAGGUCCAGAGACUUGCCGCUGACUGAGAGCUUUUUAGUAGCAGGUCUACAAAUAAUGGAAUAGAGCUGAUUUAAUGAUUAAUUUAUUUCCUUUUUCAAUUUCUUUUGAUUGCCAUGUAAUCUGGAUAAGUUAAACGUGAAUUGUUUAGUGCAGAUUAAAUGUUCGACGAAUUUCCCGCAAGAAUAUUAAGUUAAAGAGAAAAAAAGAAAACAAUUGAGCGUGAGCGAGAAUGGUGUUUGGCCAAGUGGUGAUUGGUCCGCUCGGCUCGGGAAAGCCCACUUACUGCAAUGGCAUGUCUUAGUUUCUCAGCCUUGUUGGCAGGUAACUUCGUUUCUUGAUUUCAAGCAGCUUUCUCUUUGAUGGCCAAAAAUAUUGAUUUGGGCUUUGCCCUUUAAAUUAAUGUAAGAGCGGUAGGGAAUAAUCGAGUUAUAGUCUUAGCUUUAAGUGAACAUUGAUGAUAACAUGCAUGUGAAGGUUGUAUGUGUUCAGCGGCAAGUUGUAUGCCAAUUUGGUCUAUAUGGUUUUUUUGUUGGUAACUUAUUAAUUUUUAUGCAGGAAGGUUACAGUCAUCAAUUUGGAUCCUGCUAGUGAUAGUUUGUCGUAUCCUUUGUCAGAACCUUUUUACAAAUGCUGUGGUUUGUUGUACUAUAAUUAGUUCAAUCGGAAACUUCCUUGAUGUUAAUAUAGAUAUGAGUGUGCUGUGAAUAUUGAGGACCUCAUUAGACUAAGUGAUGUGAUGAAGGAGCAUUCACUUGGUCCCGAUGGAGGUUAGUCAUCCUAUUGUUGUUUACUCUUUCUUGCUUUAUCACGCAAUGAUAUUCCUUUGCUUUACAAAAAAUUUCAUGAAAUUAACUUCAAUCAAGUGGCUACCUGUUGAGAUUUUAUGGAUAAUGAUUUGGUAGAGUUUAUAUGCCCUCUUCUUUCUUUUUGCAGUGAUAUGUUUGUAUUCAAUGUGCUUGUACUUAUUCUACGAUUUCUAACGUAGGUGUUUUUAUGAUAAACUAGGUCUUGUGUAUUGUAUGGACUAUCUAGAGAAGAUUAUUGACUGGUUGCAGUCGAAAUUGGAACCACUUUUGAAAGGUAAGAAGAGGCCAUUUUGCUUCAUUCUAAUGCCAAUAAUGCUGUCAUGAGACUCAUAAAAAUUGUUAAAACGUUAAUGUUUUUGGUAUUUUGCAGAUCAUUAUCUUCUGUUUGAUUUUCCUGGCCAAGUUGAAUUAUAUUUUCUUCAUUCCAAUGCCAAGAAUGUUAUAUGAGACUCAUAAAGAAGUUAAAUCUCAGGGUAUUGUUACAUCUUACAUAUAUGAAGGGACUCAAAGAGUUGAGAUGAAUUCAUCUUUGUUAUUUUGAUGCCAGAAUUGUGCAAUUCUCAGUUGGUUCCUUUCACAUGCAGUUGACUGCAGUGCAUCUAGUUGAUGCGCAUCUUUGCAGUUGUUUCUAAAGCUGGUACAUUUAAGAUACCUUAAUUUGUCUUUUCAGAAAAUAGUGAAACUACCGGAGACAUUAUGUGAGUUAUAUAAUCUAGAAAAGUUAGAUAUUACUCAUUGUGAGUAUCUUGAAGAAUUACCUGAAGGGAUUGGGAAGUUAAUAAACAUGAGGCAUUUACUAAAUAAAGGUACUAAUUCUUUAAGGUACAUGCCAGUAGGGAUUGGGAGAUUAACGGGUCUUAGGACCUUGGGUGAGUUCCAUGUGAGUGGAAGAGGAGGUGUUGAUGGUAGGAAAGCAUGUAGGCUUGAAUCUCUUAAAAGCUUGGAACACCUUCAAGUAUGUGGUAUAUGUAGACUGGGUGAUGUAUCAGAUGUGGGCGAGGCUAAGCGAUUAGAACUUGACAAAAAGAAAUACCUCUCUUGUUUGAGACUUCGAUUAGAACGAAGACAAUCAACUACUUCUUGAAGCCCUGCGACCACCUCUGGAUUUAAAGGAAUUAGAGAUACAGUUCUACCGAGGCAACACUGUUUUCCCCAGCUGGAUGACGUCAUUAACCAACUUAAAGAGUUUAGAUCUCUCUUUCUGCGAAAAUUGCUAGCAGCUGCCUCCUUUGGGAAAAUUGUCAUCCCUUGAACAGCUCUUCAUAUCGUACAUGUCGAGUGUGAAAAUAGUGGGUGAUGAAUUUUUGGGGGUAGAAAGUGAUCGUCAUGACUCAUUGUCAUCUUCAUCAGUGAUUAUUGCCUUCCCCAAAUUGAAAUCACUUAGUAUUGAGGGAUUGAUGGAAUUGGAGGAGUGGGAUUAUGGGAUUACAAGAACGGGAAACACCGUCAUCAACAUCAUGCCCCGUCUUUCUUCCUUGGUAAUUGAUAGUUGCGACGAAUUAAAGGCACUGCCCGAUCACAUUCAUCAAACGACAACAUUGAAGCGAUUGUGGAUUUUGAAUUGUGGGCCUCUGGGAGAACGUUACCGCAAGGGGGAAGGAGAAGACUGGCCUAAGAUAUCUCACAUUCCCAACACAGAUAUUCGAUAAAAAGGAUUCGCGCAUUCGAGAUUUGGCGUUGACAAGUAAUUUCUUCUCUUACUCUGAUUUGCUUUGUUGUUGUUUUUAAUCUAAUUGAGAAGCAUAAAUAGCAUUUUGAAUCAAGCUGUAUAUCAGAAAUCUGUAAUACAUAUUUUCUAUUAUUCCGAUUUUCAUAUCUUAAGAAUAUACGCUUUUAAUUUGUGAUUUGGGUAACGUUACUGUAAAACAUUAUUAAUGCAAUAACCUUUCGAGGUCGCGACUAUAAAAUGGUGAGAAUGGUGAGAAUGGUGCCCCUUGAAUAAACUUGUCGUGACUGAACUUUGGUUGGCAGUUGGCCGUGAAUGGAGCCCCUUGAAAAUAUUCCCAACCCAUUGCACUGCAAUUACGAUCGUAAGUACGAUUGCACUGCAAUUUCGAAGCUUCUUCUCCUGCAUUUUUGUUAUUUGCUAUGAAGUGAUAUUCGUAAGUAUGAUUGCAUUAAGCUGCUGCUGGGAGAUAUGAGGUUUUGAUGGCUGCCCAUGCUAUUGUUAGAAGCUGCGGUUCUUUUUCAUCAGCCUGAACCUGGACCUGUCGUUUCCACUGUUUUGAAACUCUUAAGAUUAAACUUUAGUAAAGUUGUUUUAGUUAUCGAUGUAAUCAGGCUGAGGAUACUUAGCUGCCUAUUUAGGCAAAUGUCAGAAUUUAGUUUGUUCGCUGGGAACUGGUGUGGUAACAGCGUCCUGGCAAAGGAUGAUGAGAUAGUUUUUUGAUUGAGUAAAUUUUGGAAGCUUGAGUGUAUUGGGAUUUGCAAUUACAAUCAUCCUCUGCCUCAGGUGAUUUCUUCUCCUGCCCUAUCGUUGUUUGUUCUUUAAUUCAAAGUUAUAAAAUAUUUCAAUCAAAUUUUAUGCCAGGAAUAUGCAAAAGUUUCUAAUAUUUUAUUUCCAUCUGUUUGCCUUGAUAACUUUGCGGCAUAUGUGCUAGUUAAAGAACAAAUCGAAACAGAGCUCAGUUAAAAGUUUCUUCUGCCGUCAUAUUUGAAAAAUGAAACCAUUUCCAAGAAGCAAUGGGUGUUAAGGAAGCUCACAUGAGCAGAGUAGUCAGUGGAGCAGAGGAUUGCAACACCUGCAGCUUGCUGUUACAGGUUGAUGACAUGGCUUGCCAGCUGGAGCCUGGUGGUUAUAUAGUCUCUUGCACACGUGAAGAUUAACAGAGUUUGUUAUAGUAUUUCUUGUGCUUGUAAUUCGGUUUUAAUUAGUUAUAACCAGCUGAUUAGCACUUGCAAUUAGUUGAGAAUUAGUUCUAAUUACUACUGAUGUAUAUAAACAGAAGUAUGUACAGAUUCAGUCAAUUAAUGACUUGAGAUAAUAAAAACGAAGAAAGAGUUUUAGAAUUCUCUUAUUUUCCUUUAAGUUUUCUCUGUUUCCAAACAUCAUUGAAUUGUUACUUGGUAUCAGAGCCAACCAAUAAUGGCGUCUGUUAAUCUUGCUUCUUCUUCCUCAAUUCCAACUCUUAAUCAUGCUACAAAUUCAACAACUGUUUCCUUUACCUUUAACACACCAGUCAAGCUUGAUUAGUCCAAUUGUCUCAUAUGGCGAUCUCAAGUCCUAGCCUCAAUUCGUGGAAACAGGCUCGAAAAGUUUAUUGAUGAUGCAGUCACUCCACCUCCAUCUCAUAUAGCUCAGAGAGUUGAUGAUGAACUCAGAUCUGUGGAGAAUCCAGAAUUCGCAACAUGGAGAUCUCAAGAUCAGGUGCUGCUUGGAUGGCUGCUCUCUUCGAUGAGUGAAGGAAUCAUCAGUCUAGUGUUUAACCUGGAAUCAUCACUUGAAGUGUGGAAAGCUAUUAAGGUACAAUUUGGCUCGCAAUCUAAAUCCAGACUUUUACAUCUGAGAUACAUGAUGAAUUCAACAAGGAAAGAUUAUAUGAAAAUCAUAGACUAUUUUAUUAAGAUGAAAAACAUAGCUGAUAAUAUGGCAGCAGCAGGAAGUGCUUUAAGUAGUGAUGAUAUGAUUUUACAUGUAUUAUCUGGCCUAGGACCAGAUUAUAAUUCAGUAGCUACUUACAUUACUGGUCAAGUAGGAGUUGGUAAAAUGAAUGUAAAUGAAGCCUAUGCUAUGCUGUUAACUCAAGAGGCUAGGAUUGAACAACAAUCACAAAUGCUUGCUGGUGUGGAUAUGAAAAACAAUUUUGAGGCAAAUUAUGCUCAAAACAGAGGAGUAAAGAAGGGAAACAUAUCAGGUGGAAGAGGUUUUGGUGGUUAUGGCUAUAACUCUGGGUUUGGAAAAGGUGGUUAUUACAAAGGAAACUUUGGCACUGAAUCUGCUGGUGGUGGUACUGGUUUUAAUAGUCAGUUCAAAGGUUAUCAAUCUGGUAAUCAAAGAGGAGGAGGAGGAGGAAACUGGAACAAUAACACUAGAAUUAACAAUUUUAACAAUGGGAAACCACCUAUGAACUCUAAACCUCAGUGGAAUACUUCUAAACCUACCUGCCAAAUCUUCCUCAAGCCUGGACAUACUGCAAACAUUUGUUGGAAGCUGGAAGAAUUCAUUGCUUCAGGCUCUUACAGAUCACCUCCAAAUAGAGGACCAAAGGCUGCCUAUUUAGCCAACAUGGAUGCUCCAGCUGAUACAAAUUGGUAUCUUGACAGUGGUGCUACACACCACCUCACUAAUGAUAUGAGCAAUAUGAAUAUGGCUGAACCUUUUACAGGUAUUUCUAAACUUGUCAUUGGUAAUGGUGUUGGUUUAUUCAUAACACAUACAGGUUCUGCUGUUUUGAGAAUGAAAAGCUCUAUAAAUCAUGUUGAUCUUAAGCUAAACAAUAUUCUUCUUGUGCCUAAAAUAACCAAAAACCUGAUAAGUAUAUCAAAACUAACCAGAGAUAGUGAUGUUGUGGUAGAAUUUACUAAUGAUUUCUGUUUUGUUAAGGACAAGGUGAGGAAUUUGAUCAUGCUGCAGGGCAAAGCUGAAAAAGGAUUAUACAGAUUGCUAUUAGUCUCCUCAAAUAAAACCUCUCCUUAUCUGUCAAACCAAGGUCUUUUUGCUCAUGUUCAGUCAGCUGUCUCAACUCAACCUAUUUCCAAGUUUUCUGUUGUUGAUUCUAAAUGUCAGAAUAAAAUUGCUUCUCAGUUACAAACUGAAGCACAAUGUAGUCAAAACUCAGAUUGUAUGUUGAGUACUAUGGUUUUACACCAAAGAUUAGGUCAUCCCAAUGCUAGAGUGUUAAAUCAUGUUAUCAAUUCUUGUCCAUCUUUUAAAACCAUCGAUGGUAAUAAAGGUUUUGAUUCUUGUGAUGCUUGUAAGUUGGGAAAAAUGCACAAACUUCAUUUUCCAGUAACUGAAACUAAAACCAAAAAUGCACUUGAAAUCUUACAUACAGAUCUAUGGGGGCCUGCUCCUACACUUUCUAUACAAGGAUAUAAAUAUUAUAUCAACUUUGUAGAUGAUUACACAAGAUUCACCUGGAAUUUUCCUUUAAAAACCAAAGCUGAAGCAUUUCCAGUGUUCAAAGUUUUCAAAGCUCAAGUAGAGAAACAAUUAGAUAAACCUAUCAAGUGUCUUCAAUCUGAUUGGGGUGGUGAGUAUAGAUCAUUUGUUCAUUUUCUUCAAACAGAGGGGAUUCAGUUUAGACACUCCUGUCCCUAUACCCACAAUCAAAAUGGACUUGUGGAAAGAAAACAUAGACACAUCACUGAGUUGGGUUUAACCUUGCUUGCACAAGCCAAGUUACCUAUAAAAUUUUGGUGGGAUUCUUUUCAUACAGCUACCCAUAUUAUAAACAAACUUCCAACUCCUGUUCUUUCCUUGAAAACCCCUUAUGAAUAUCUAUUCCAUCAAAAACCAGACUAUCCAUUUCUCAAAACUUUUGGUUGUGCUUGUUUUCCUUUCUUAAGAGAUUACAAUCAUCACAAGUUUCACUUCCAUACUUCUAAAUGUGUCUUCUUAGGAUACAUCCCUUUACACAAAGGCUACAAGUGUCUUCAUCCAUCAGGAAGAAUUUACAUAGCUAGUCAUGUUCUUUUUUAUGAAACUUCCUUUCCAUAUUCUACUGAUUCUACCUUCUUACAGUCUAUGCCAUCUAAAUCUUCUGACUUCUUUUAUAAUUCCUUACAAGUAUAUCACAUCUCAGUUCCUAAUAGCAAUCAGAAUCCUUUAGCAGCUGCUCCUGCAGAUACAGAUUCUCAUGCCUCCAGUUCUACUCACAACAUCAUCUCCCUUCCUAUUCCUACAUCACAAGUAAAUUCCACCUCACUGAUUUCACCAAAUAAUACUAUAUCUUCACCCAUUGUCCACACAACAUCACCAGCUGCUACCAUAAACACUAUACCAAACACUACAACUUUACCUGCAAUACUACAAAAUUCACCUUCCAGAUCACUUCCCUCAGCUGCAACCAUAAACACUCAUUUUAUGAUUACCAGAGCUAAAGCUGGCAUAUUCAAACCAAAGGCCUUCUUGACAGAUCAUAACAGCCUAGAACCUUCCAAUGCUGGAGAAGCCUUAUCUGAUACUAAGUGGAAGGCAGCAAUGCAAGAUGAAUAUAAUGCUCUCAUUAGAAACAAAACCUGGAGCUUAGUACCAAUGAAUCCAGAAUACAAGUUAGUAGGCUGCAAGUGGGUCUUUAGAACUAAAUACAAUACUGAUGGUUCAGUCUCUAAGUACAAAGCUCGCUUAGUUGCAAAAGGGUUUCACCAAACUGCUAGGAUAGAUUACUCAUAAACUUUUAGUCCUGUAGUGAAAUCUUCUACUGUCAGAGUUAUUCUUAGCUUGGCAGUCAUGCAAGGCUGGAAUGUUAGACAAAUUGAUGUCAAUAACGCAUUUCUUAAUGGGAAUCUCACUGAGGAUGUAUACAUGCAACAGCCAGAGGGUUUUGUUUCAGAGGGAGGAUACAUCUGUAAACUAAACAAAGCUCUUUAUGGCUUAAAACAAGCUCCAAGAGCCUGGUAUGAUAAGCUUAAGGGAUGUCUUACAAGCUGGAAAUUCACUAAUUCUAAGGCUGAUACUUCUCUGUUUAUCAGGCAUGAUGUCAAAGGCAUAAUUCUUGUCUUAAUAUAUGUGGAUGACAUUCUGAUCACUGGACCAGAUUCAGACUUGCUGGAAUCUUUUAUUGCUAAGCUCAGCAAAGUUUUUGCAUUAAAAGACUUGGGUCUAGUAACAUAUUUCCUUGGUGUAGAAGUCAGCUAUACAGAUCAUGGAAUGCAUCUCUCUCAGACUAAGUACAUCAAGGAUAUGCUGUCCAAAGCCUCAAUGCAAGACUGCAAAGGAACUGACACUCCUUUCAGCACAGGCUACAAGUUGGAAAGGUCAGCAAAAGGCCUAUUGGGUGCUGAAUUUGAGAAUCCAACCCUCUAUAGAAGCAUUGUUGGAGGUUUGCAAUACUUAAUCUUAACCAGACCAGACAUUGCAUAUUCAGUGCAUAAGCUUAGUCAGUACCUCAGUGCUCCUACACUUCAACACUAGUUAGCUUGUAAAAAAGUGCUCAGAUACCUUCAAGCUACUGUCACAUAUGGUCUCUAUAUUCAACAGGAGGGAACUCUGGAAACUAUAGGACUAACAGGAUAUUCAGAUACUGAUUAGGCAUGUGAUAUUGAUGACAGAAAAUCCAUUGGAGCAUAUUGCAUUUUCCUUGGUAAUAAUUUGGUUUCCUAGUCUUCAAAAAAGCAAGCCGUUGUAGCAAAAUCUAGUACUGAGAGUGAAUACAGAGCCUUGUCAGCAGCCAGCUCUAAACUUUCUUGGCUAUAAUCAUUAUUCUCUGAGCUCAACAUCACAAAAUUACCAACUUCUGUUCUAUGGUGUGAUAACCAGAGUGCUGGAGAUCUAGCUAGAAAUCCAGUUUUUCAUUCAAAAUCAAAACACAUAGAGCUAGACAUUCAUUAUAUUAGAGACAAGGUUCUUAACAAUGAAUUGGAAGUGAGGUACAUUCCCACUGAAGAGCAAGUUGCAGAUGUUCUUACUAAGCCCCUGUCAUUUCCUAAGUUUAGUUAUUUUCGUUCCAAACUCAAUGUGUUCAGUAGACCCUUGAGCUUGAGAGGGGAUGUUAAGGAAGCUCACAUGAGCAGAAUAGUCAGUGGAGCAGAGGAUUGCAACACCUGCAGCUUGCUGUUACAGGUUGAUGACAUGGCUUGCCAGCUGGAGCCUGGUGGUUAUAUAGUCUCUUGCGCCCGUGAAGAUUAGCAGAGUUUGUUAUAGUAUUUCUUGUGCUUGUAAUUCAGUUUUAAUUAGUUAUAACCAGCUGAUUAGCACUUGCAAUUAGUUGAGAAUUAGUUCUAAUUACUACUGAUGUAUAUAAACAGAAGUAUGUACAGAUUCAGUCAAUUAAUGACUUGAGAUAAUAAAACGAAGAAAGAGUUUUAGAAUUCUCUUAUUUUCCUUUAAGUUUUCUCUGUUUCCAAACAUCAUUGAAUUGUUACUAUGGGCAGCAAAUUCAUAUAAAGCGUAGACAAUGGUGAUCAAAAAGGUGAUUCACAAUUUCACUUUUUUUAAUGAAAUUAAUUGUUUGGUUGGAGCUGAUAUUGUUAGAAGGCCAUUGAGCUAACCUAUGUCACUACUUGCCUAGAUUACAGGGGGUCAAAACUCAAAAGAGGCAUUGAAUUUUAAAAGGCAUCCAAUAAUUCUUGUGGCCAUAUAUCAAUUCAUGUAAGUUUGAAUGUAAUUAUUGGUGAAGGGGUUUCACUUCCCGUCUCUAAAUAAAAAUACUGAUUCUUUAAGGUACAUGCCACUAGGGAUUGCGAGAUUAACGAGUCUUUGGACAUUGGAAGAGCUUCUUGUGAGUGGAGGAGGAGGUGUUCAUGUGUAGCAAAGCAUGUGGGCAGUGGGCUUGAAUCUCUUAAAAACUUGGAACUCCUCCAAGCGUAAGUAUACGUAUACUGGGAAAUGUGUUAGAUGUGGAUGAGGCUAAGAGAUUAGAGCUUGACAAAAUGAAAUACCUCUGUCAUUGAGACUUAAAUUUGAUGGGGAAGAAGAAAAAGAAUAGGGAAGGAGAAAGAAUGAGAAUAAUCAACUUGUUCUUGAAGCCUUGCAACCACCUCUGAAUUUGAAGGAAUUAGAGAUUUGGUCAUACAGAGGCAACAUUGUUUCCCCCCGGAUGAUGCAAAAGUUGAAGGAAUUUACCAAUCUAAGGAGUUUGACACUCUUUAAAACUGCAAAAAUUGAGAGCAGUU
rnacentral:lncRNA from 1 species